UACGGGGGGGGCAAGCGUUGUUCGGAAUUACUGGGCGUAAAGGGCUCGUAGGUGGCCAACUAAGUCAGACGUGAAAUCCCUCGGCUUAACCGGGGAACUGCGUCUGAUACUGGAUGGCUUGAGUGUGGGAGAGGGAUGCGGAAUUCCAGGUGUAGCGGUGAAAUGCGUAGAUAUCUGGAGGAACACCGGUGGCGAAGGCGGCAUCCUGGACCACGACUGACGCUGAGUGAGCGAAAGCCAGGGGAGCAAAGCGGGG
rnacentral:rRNA from 1 species